rnacentral:rRNA from 1 species
CCUACGGGAGGCAGCAGUAGGGAAUAUUGGGCAAUGGGCGGAAGCCUGACCCAGCCAUGCCGCGUGCAGGAAGAAGGCGUUAUGCGUUGUAAACUGCUUUUUUAUAGGAAGAAGGAUCCCUUGCGAGGGAAGGUGACGGUACUAUAAGAAUAAGCACCGGCUAACUCCGUGCCAGCAGCCGCGGUAAUACGGAGGGUGCAAGCGUUGUCCGGAUUUAUUGGGUUUAAAGGGUGCGUAGGCGGUUUAUUAAGUCAGUGGUGAAAGACGGUCGCUCAACGAUUGCAGUGCCAUUGAUACUGGUAGACUUGAGUGAGAUUGAGGUAGCUGGAAUGGAUAGUGUAGCGGUGAAAUGCAUAAAUAUUAUCCAGAACACCGAUUGCGAAGGCAGGUUACUAAGUCUUAACUGACGCUGAGGCACGAAAGUGUGGGGAUCAAACAGGAUUAGAUACCCUGGUAGUCCACACUGUAAACGAUGAUGACUAACUGUUGGCUUUCGGGUCAGUGGUACAGAGAAAUCGUUAAGUCAUCCACCUGGGGAGUACGCCGGCAACGGUGAAACUCAAAUGAAAUUGACGGCGUGAGAGUGCGACGACGACGACGAGGGAGGAGG